UCUAAAUAGAACUACUUUUAUAAUAUUGUAGCUUUGUUUAAUCAAUAAGUUGGUAAUUAAAUAUUAAUAUUUGAGUUUCCAGGCAGAACUCAGUCUGAGAUAUUCUGGUGAUCAAUAUGAAAAGAGGAGGUCAAUAAAGGUGAUCAAUAUGAAAAGGUAAAUAAAGGUGAUCAAUAUGAAAAGGUAAAUAAAGGUGAUCAAUAUGAAAAGGUAAAUAAAGGUGAUCAAUAUGAAAAGGUAAAUAAAGGUGAUCAAUAUGAAAAGGUAAAUAAAGGUGAUCAAUAUGGAAAGGUAACUAAAGGUGAUCAAUAUGGAAAGGUAAAUAAAGGUGAUCAAUAUGGAAAGGUAAAUAAAGGAAGUAUUGACAGGUUUCUAAAUGUGAUUGAGUUUGUAAGUGAAAGUGUCUCUGAUGGAAAUGACUUCAGAUCAAAACCCAAAGGUAAUGUUUGAGCCUCACUAAAUGUUCCUAACAACACAGAACUGUAUUAUUCCCAGUCGUCAUGGUAACGUCAUCAGUUGCCGGGCAGAUUUCACCUGAACAGGUUUCUGAAGCAGGAGCUCUGAGAACAGCUGAGUGCAGCGACACACACUGAUAACACACACAUUACAGAGAUCAAUACAUCACUCAGAGUUACUUUAUUUUGUUAAAUGUUCCUCCAUUAGAGAACAUUUUCAUUUGUUUCUUUUUAGAAAGCAGUAAACCAUUAGAUCUUUAGUUUCAUAUCAAAUCCACUUUCCUCUAGUGUCUGAGACGCUAGUAGAAACCAAUACAUGUGUUGAUGGAAAGACGAGAAGACGGACAUUUGGGAGAUGGGUUUUUAUUGGAAAGUGAAACACGGACAGGAAAGGGUUAACAAUGCAGAGCGACUUCAUGUCACGUUCACCUCUGAACCCCAAACUAAAGAGAACGUCACAGUCCGCUGGCUAUGUACACAAAACCUCCCUGUCCCUAAA